UUCAUCAGUUGGUCUUAAUCUUUCUAGCCUAUCGGUUGUUUUGGUUGGGUUUUGCUCACUUUUUAGGUUUGUAUGCUUUGACUUGUUAUAGUUUUUGGGUUUCUCGAGUUUCCUAUCCGUCUUGCUUUUUUUUUUUACUUUUUGUGGAGCCUUUGUAUUUGGUUGUUUCAUGUUCUUCCCUUUCCAUCCCUCUAUAAGCCUAAAGUUAGGUUUUUUUUUGCUAUUAAAAAGAGGAUUCUAAGUUAGAAUUGCAGGGGUAUUGAGCAACAAAUUACCAUUCAAGAUUUAAGAGAAUUAAAUAGAAAAUAUACACCUCAAAUCAUAUUUCUC
rnacentral:lncRNA from 1 species